CUAAUCCUACGGGGGGCAGCAGUAGGGAAUCUUCCACAAUGGGCGCAAGCCUGAUGGAGCAACACCGCGUGAGUGAAGAAGGGUUUCGGCUCGUAAAGCCCUGUUGUUGGAGAAGAAUGUGCGCGAGAGUAACUGUUCACGCAGUGACGGUAUCCAACCAGAAAGUCACGGCUAACUACGUGCCAGCAGCCGCGGUAAUACGUAGGUGGCAAGCGUUAUCCGGAUUUAUUGGGCGUAAAGCGAGCGCAAGCGGUUGCUUAGGUCUGAUGUGAAAGCCUUCGGCUUAACCGAAGAAGUGCAUCGGG
rnacentral:rRNA from 1 species